CGGAGGGAUCAUUACUGAGUUACCGCUCUAUAACCCUUUGUGAACAUACCUAACCGUUGCUUCGGCGGGCAGGGGAAGCCUCUCGCGGGCCUCCCCUCCCGGCGCCGGCCCCACCACGGGGACGGGGCGCCCGCCGGAGGAAACCAAACUCUAUUUACACGACGUCUCUUCUGAGUGGCACAAGCAAAUAAUUAAAACUUUUAACAACGGAUCUCUUGGUUCUGGCAUCGAUGAAGAACGCAGCGAAAUGCGAUAAGUAAUGUGAAUUGCAGAAUUCAGUGAAUCAUCGAAUCUUUGAACGCACAUUGCGCUCGCCAGCAUUCUGGCGAGCAUGCCUGUUCGAGCGUCAUUUCAACCCUCAAGCACCGCUUGGUUUUGGGGCCCCACGGCACACGUGGGCCCUUAAAGGUAGUGGCGGACCCUCCCGGAGCCUCCUUUGCGUAGUAACUAACGUCUCGCACUGGGAUCCGGAGGGACUCUUGCCGUAAAACCCCCAAAUUUUUUACAGGUUGACCUCGGAUCAGGUAGGAAUACCCGCUGAACUUAAGCAUAUCAAUAAGCGGAGGAAAAGAAACCAACAGGGAUUGCCCCAGUAACGGCGAGUGAAGCGGCAACAGCUCAAAUUUGAAAUCUGGCCCCAGGCCCGAGUUGUAA
rnacentral:rRNA from 1 species